UGGCGAAGAUCGAUACACUUUUCGUCUCAUCAACAUUCGCAGUUGACCCCUCUAGAGUGAGAGCCUUUAGCCGGGGUCGCACUCUAUGAGAGCCUUAUCUUCCUUGGAUGUCUGAGCCA
rnacentral:snoRNA from 1 species